rnacentral:rRNA from 1 species
AUGGUUGUCGUCAGCUCGUGUCGUGAGUAUUGGUUUGGGUUAACGUCCCGCAACGAGCGCAACCUUAUCCCUAGUUGCCAUCAGGUAAGCUGGGAACUCUGGGGAGACUGCCGGUGAUAAACCGGAGGAAGGCGGGGAUGACGUCAAGUCCUCAUGGCCCUUACAUCCCGGGCUACACACGUGCUACAAUGGCAGGUACAGAGGGCUGCGAAGCCGCGAGGUGGAGCGAAUCCCAGAAAACCUGUCUCAGUCCGGAUUGAAGUCUGCAACUCGACUUCAUGAAGGCGGAAUCGCUAGUAACCGCGAAUCAGCAGGUCGCGGUGAAUACGUUCCCGGGCCUU